AAAGUACUCCCUCCGUCCCGAAUUACUGGUCACAGAAAUCGAUGUAUCUAGAUGUAUUUUUAGUUCUAGAUAUAUCCAUUUUUGCGACAAGUAAUUUGGGAUAGAUGGAGUAUUUC
rfam:Triticum aestivum genome assembly, contig: Triticum_aestivum_CS42_TGACv1_scaffold_376619_5AL